CACAUACUCCCUCCGUCCGGAAAUACUUGUCAUCAAGAUGAAUAAAAAGGGAUGUAUCUAGAUGUAUUUUAGUUCUAGAUACACCUCUUUUUAUCCAUUUUGAUGACAAGUAUUUCCGGACGGAGGGAGUAGCUA
rnacentral:pre_miRNA from 1 species